GGCACUGUGGCUGACUGGUAAAGCGCUUGGUUUCGUAAUCAGGGGUCCUGGGUUUGAAUCCUGGUAUUUUUA
rnacentral:tRNA from 1 species